UGGGGAAUAUUGCACAAUGGGGGAAACCCUGAUGCAGCGACGCCGCGUGAGCGAUGAAGGCUUUCGAGUCGUAAAGCUCUGUCCUAUGGGAAGAUAAUGACGGUACCAUAGAAGAAAGCCCCGGCUAAUUACGUGCCAGCAGCCGCGGUAAUACGUAAGGGGCGAGCGUUGUCCGGAAUUAUUGGGCGUAAAGAGUGCGUAGGCGGCAAAUUAAGUCAGAUGUGAAAACUAAGGGCUCAACCCAUAGAUUGCAUCUGAAACUGAUAUGCUUGAGUCAAGGAGAGGAAAGUGGAAUUCCUAGUGUAGCGGUGAAAUGCGUAGAGAUUAGGAGGAACACCGGUGGCGAAAGCGGCUUUUUGGCCUGCAACUGACACUGAGGCGCGAAAGCGUGGGGAGCAAACAGG
rnacentral:rRNA from 1 species